ensembl:lncRNA novel transcript
AAUGCUAUGAAAAAGCUGAUAGAUAAUAGGAAGCUUUAAUAUCUCUACUCAUUUAAUCCAGAGUUUUACUCCCCGUCACCAUGGAGAAACUAUGCAGUGCUAUGAAAGAAUGCUCAUCAGUGUUUUGUGGUUUUUUUUCCAGCUAUCUCCUCUGCAGAACUCUGUGCUAAUGAUAGAAUUUGCAUACUAAUGAUAAUUGCAACCAAGAAAGCUGUAUUCUCUUUCUACUCGAGAUAGAGAGUCUCACUAUGCUGGCCAGACUCGUCUCAAACUUCUGGGCUCAAGCAAUCCUCCCACCUGCCUCAAUCUCCCAAAAUGCUGGAAUUACAGGCAUAAGCCAUCACACCCAGCCAGUAAUUGACUCUGAAAGUAACACACAAAGAUUGGAAAGUGAUCUAAGUUCUGAAUUCAAAUAUCAACACAUGCAUUUUGCUAUUUCUUUGUUCUUUAAUUGCAGCAAGAACAAAUAACAUGAGAUCUAUCUUCUUAUCAAAUUUGUAAGUAUAUAGUAGAGUAAUG